rnacentral:misc_RNA from 1 species
AUCUAUGGUGCAUGUCAUAACAACCGAUCAAACUACAUAGCCUACUACAAGGGGAAAAACUUUCACUUGCUUUUGAACCUUUUUCCCCCCAUUUUCUAAAUGCCCAAGACUACCAAUUGAGUUUGUCUGGAUAAAGCAUAAUCCAGUUAGUUAAGAGGAAAUCAAUAGGAACAUCUUAGGAUAAAGGCAUAGCAUUUGUAAUCAAUUUGACCAAGCAAAUUGAAUCUCAAACUUCAAAGAAUAUGUCAAACAAAACGACAAAACGACGAAAAA